ensembl:lncRNA
GCCGUUAUUAGAGGAUGCAAAUCGUGGCAAAAAAAAAACAACAACAAAAACAACAAAAAACCAACCAACCAAACAACAACAACAACAACAAAAACACCGGUAUCUAAGAAGCUCCAAGAAGUCCUUACAGUUUGAGGGAGAGCGAAGGACACCCCUCCCCCUCGCCCUUUUCCCCCCGCCUCGCCCUUCGCACCCCGCCCCUCCUAUCCCCCCCCUCCGGCUCCCGGCAGCCCGGCGGCUCUGACAUAUGUGGGCAGAGCGAGGAGUUUUGUUGCCGACCCUUCCCCGUGCUAGUAACGGCGGAGUGCUGCGAGUGCAGCCAGCGGCAACGGCAAACGGCACGGCACGGCACGGCAGUUUGCACUGCGAGCGAGCAGGCAGGGCAAGGAAUGACACCUUGCCAUAGACGAGGAGGCUUAACUAGUCAUUUAACAGAGAAGAAUGAAUUUGGUGAGAACCCUGGAGAAGCACUAACAUUUUGGCAGAAGGAAGGUCUAUACUAUACAGUGCUGGUGGAAGGAAACACUUUCCUACACAAAAAUGGAUGACCUACAGCAGAAUCUUUACAGGAUGGACUGCUGAACUCUUGCUUGAAUUAGUUCUUCUGUUUUGGAAUCCGCAGAACAUUUCCUUUCAUUUUGCUGUCUAUACCUUUUGCAUGAACUAUGUUAAUAGAGUAUUAAUUUGAUCUCUGUUUUAGCUAAUUUGAAGUGUUGUGUGUCAACAUCUGAGACUGUAGGAUGACCACUGUAAGCUUCUAAACUUUCUCUGUGAGAGUUUUUGCAAAGGAGUAUCCUACAUUUAACAGAAGCUUGCUACUGCCAUUUUUUAAAGCUUUUUGCAUUCAUCCAAGUAGGCAAAUACAUUUGGUGUUGUUAGUUUUUCCGUUGCAACCUCCAUUUAGAGACAUUCAUUUAUACUUCACUGUCACAGAAAAAAAUCCAUUAGACAAAUAUAUACCCUUCCAUUCAGCUUAAGUAUCUUUGCUCUUCAUCAUGAUUUUUCUGCUAUACUCCUAUAAAACUAUGCUGUUUCACCCGAAUGUCUCAUUCUUUAGUCAUGUCCUCACAGACAAGUUUCGUCUGCCUUAUUUGUUCUGACUUCCAUCUAUUUUGGGCAGAUAACCUUUACUUGUUUUUUGGCACAAAGGUAGAUUUAUUUCAAGAAAGGAUGCACACAGAUAUUUGAAAGUAUUCCAAAGCUUCGUUUCUUCAGCUCUUUUUUGCAAAAGGUAACCUAUGAGUGACAAUAAUUUAUAUGACAAGUCUAACUCCUAGUGCUUUGUUUUCUUUCUUUUCCUUUUUUCUUUCUUUUUUUUUUUUUUCUUCUGGUGUUGGUAAUUUUUCAGUUACAUGCCCCAGAAUUAAAGUCAUAAAAGUUUAGUUGCUUGAGUAAUAAUUUGGAAGAUAUUUUUAAUUCAUGUAACCUCAGCUUUAAUAUUGCAAAGCUUAUCUCAUUUAAGAGAAUGUUAUCUUCUGACAGUUAGCAAUUGUCUAUCAAUUGUAACAGUCGUUAUGCUCUGUUACGCUCAUACCAUGAAUUAGAAAU